GGAUUAAAGGUGUGAGCCACCACACCCAGCCUCUUUCAACACUUUUUAUUUCUGUAGCGUUAACAUUCCUGUGAACAUUCUGUCUUUGUUUUUCACCCCUGUCUGCACCUCUGCUGUUGGUGAGGGGCUCCUGGUCAUCACAGUCACAUGUGGACUCCCCUGCUCUGUACCUCCCAGCCUUUCUGCCAACAGCGUUGGAAUCACAGUGUUGUCCUGGAGAUUAAGUGAGCCCAGCCACGACCAGACCUUCAUGCUUCAGAAGUGUUACUGUUCGGAGAAUAACCUGCCACAGGCUACCUUCCACACCCACAGGCCCUGAGCAGUCUCAUGGAGCCCCUACAGGGCACUCCCUGCCAGCUCCUGACCUGCUCCCCGAGUGCUUCUCUGGACUCCGAGAGCCAGACCCAGAGAGAGGGAGGGGUCAACCACUGACCCAGCUAAGGCUGCACUCUUCAAGUCCUCAGAUCCCGUCCUAAGAUCUUCUGCUUCCCAGGGAGACAGAGAAAGGUGAUCCAGUCCCCUCAGGAAGACUCAAUACCUACAGGAGUGUGACCACAGCAAACCAAUCAUGAAUGCUCAGAUAGUGCAUGCUGUAUGGCACCAUAAGAUCUGAGCCUCAAGACUGCCCAGCUGUGUGUCCUUAGACAGUUCUUACCCUCUGUGUUCCCCAUCUGUAAAAUGGGGAUGUAUACAGUGCUGUCAUCAAUGGGUUACUGACAAGAUUCAAUAUAUCAAUAUAUACAAGUUCUAAGUGCCUUACGUAUGCUAAUUUAAUUUUCACAACAACUCUGUGAAGUAGGUAUUAUUACCUAUAUUCCAGAUGAGGGAGCGGAGACCAAAGAUUACCCAACUGCCCAGUCCCCUAAGAAACCCAGAGCCCAACAGAGAUUCAAGAAAGUACCUUGGAGCAGGUGCCAUUUUCCAAGAACUCUCUGUCCAAGUUAGGGAACGAUAGCUCCUUUGAUUUUCUCCUUUCCCGAGGUCUUACGAAACUGAGUUAGUCCAUGUGUACAAGAGGGUCCAGCUCUCUCUCUUUUAAAACAAAAAUUGCCUCCUCCUGCCAAGUUGGCAGAGGCCUGCAUGGGUGGCAUCCUAACAGCCUCCUGCUUGGUCUUGGCACUCUGUGGCUUGUGAACAACCACCAGAGAUGAAUAUAUCUUCACGAGGAGAACAAGCAGCUGGGCUUGAACCAGCAGGUGCCCAGGGCAGAGCAUUUCAAAGAUGUCAAAGAUCCCAGCCUCAGAACUACCCAGCUGUGUGUCCUGGGACAAUUUGCUUUCCCUCUCUGUUUCCCCUUCUGUAGAACAGGUGUAUGUGCCUUCAUCAAAGGGCUGUUGAGAAGAUUCAAUAUAUCAAUAUAUAUAUUUAAAGCAUUUAGAAGAGUGCUUGCACAAAAUAAGCCCCAUAAAAUUUUCGCUGUUAUCAUUUUAGAUGCAAGUGUCAGUCAGGACUUCUGACAUAGACACCUCCCUUUCCACAGGACCCAGAAAUGAGAACAGUAGGAGGCUGCUUGUGCCUUCUAGACCUUUUCCCAGGGACCACGGGUUAUCCCUUAAGAGCCGCUGGUAACAGGUUUCUCCAGGUUCAUCCCAAGUCCCUUCCAGCUCAACAGCGCCCCCUGCCACGCAGAUUUUACACAUCCAUGUAAAGCUUCCAGGCAUGAAAGGAAAUUGUUGGUGCUAAAGGGCAAGCCGGAGAGAGAACUGCAGUUGAUGGCCAAUUCAAAAGGUGAAUUUCUCUAAUAAAGAAUGUGUUCCCACAAUGGACACAAACUCUACAAAAAGUACCGAAAGACUUGAUCUAAGGACACGACGGGCACUCCCUGGGAGAGAUGGCUCAGCUGGGUAACACACAUGACAGAAGAGUAAAGAAAAUUAAACAACCAGACACUAUUUGCUGCCUGCAAAUUUAGAGAAAAAACAAACCUGCCAAAACCCAGUCCUGGGGAGGUGAGUGCGUAAAGAGCUUUCACUUACAGGUGGAAACUCUAUAAACUGAAAUACUCCUUCUUGAAGUUGUUUAGCAAUCUGAUGCAAUUUAGGAUUAUUUAUGAUUACAUAUAAUUUUUGAAUAAAUACUAUAUUCUCGUGGUUCAAAAUGCAAGUAUAAAAACGAUAUGCACUGAAAAUUCUCCUUCCCACCCUUCUCUUCCAGCAACCCGGGUACCUCCUCACAGACAGCCCAGGUUAGUGGUUUCUGGUGCAAACUUUCAGGAACAUUUUUAUGAACAUACACAAAUAUGUACACAUUCAUUUCACCCUUUCUUAUGCAAAUUAUAACAUAUUAUAGCUUGGCACAUUGAUUACUUAAUAUACAUCUUGAAGAUUUUCUCGUACCAUUUUAUAAAGAGGCCCCUCAUCCUUUUUUAUGGCUGAAAGUAGUACAUUGCAUGCUCUUAUGGGUUGAACUGUGUUCCCCCAAAAUUUAUAUGUUGAAGUCCUAACCCCAGAUACUUCCUAAUGUGACCUUAUUUGGAAACAGAGUCAUCGCAGAUGUAUUUCGUUAAGUCGAGGUCAUGCUGGCGUGGGCCCUAAUCCAAUAUAACUGGUCUCCUUAAAAAAGGGGGAAAUUUGUACAUAUGCAUGCACGCAGUGAGAACGUGGUGUGAAGAUAAAGGCAGAGAUUGGGUGAUGUGUCCACAAGCCAAGGAACGCCAAGGAUUUCCAUCAAACCACCAGCAGCUAAGCACAAAACGUGGAACAGAAUCUCCCUCACAGCCUCAGAAAGAACCAACCUUGCUGACACCUUGAUCUCAGACAUCCAGCCUCCAAAACUGUGAGACAAUAAUGUUCUCCUAUUUAAGCCACAUUGUGUGGGGUACUUUGUUACAGCAGCCCUGGCAAACUAACACCUGUGAAUAUACAAUAACUUAUGUAAUCAUUUCUUUAGUUUGGACCUUUCGGUUUUCUCCAUCUUUUACUUUAGAAACGCUAUUGUGAAUAACCUUUUCACACACCAUUUCAUGAGUGUGUGACUAUACCAGCAGGGCAGAUUUCUAGAGGAGAACUGCCGCGCCAAAGAGUACGUGCACGUCCAUCCAUACUGCAUGCUGCCUUCCCUGGAGGUGGGGUCCGUCAACACUCCACCGGCAGGGCGGAAGAAUGCUUCCCCGCCAUGCCAUCACCACCAUCGCGUGCAUCAAACUUAGGAUCUUCGCAAUUCUAAUAAGAGAAAGAUUGUGUUUCCGUGUAGUUUGGACUUGCUUUUUUUUUUUUUUGAAUCAUUUGUAUAAGCUUUUCUGUGAGCCCAUUUUUCCACUGGGUUGUUCAUCUUUUCAAUUUUGGAGAAGCUCUGUGUAUCAGGGAAAUUUGCCCUUUGUGAUGUAACAUGCAAAUAUUUUUUCCAGUUAGUCAUUUGAUUUUUUUUACUUUUCUUGUGGUGGUUUUGCCACACGAAAGUAUUUUAUUUUUAUGUAUUUGAAUUGAUCUAUCUUUACUUUUACAGUUUUUGGAUUUUGCGUUAUAGUAAAAAGGAAAGAAAGAAAACAAAAACCCUCCCUCAGUCCAAUAUGAGCAAAGAAAUCUCCUGCUGUUGUUGUUUUUUUUCUUUGUAAAAUUUUACGGAAGUGGGAGCAGCCGCCAUGACGGUUAGUGUGUGCAUUUCACAUUUAAGUCUUGGAUACACCUGGCAUUGGUCCUGGUGUAAGGGCUGCGGUUUGAAUCCAACUUCAUUUUUUCCCCAAUGCUUCCAGCUGUCCCUGCUCUGUCUUUGCCACUAGUUUGAAAUAAUAGCUUCACCAGAUGCCCAAUACCCAUGACUGUUUAGGUCUAUUUCUAGACUUUAUACGUACGUCUCAGAAUUAUACCAGCUUAAUUAUUAAUGUGCUUUAAUAGUGCCUUGCAUCAUUCAUAUUUUUAUAGGCAUUUUCUGGCUAGAAACAAGCAAGAGCCUGUUAAUUUGUCCUUGUGAACUUUAGAAUCAAUUGUGCGUUGCAAAAGAUUCUAUCGCUUUUAUUGGGAUCGUGACAAUUAUAAUUUACAGGAAAUGACUAUUCUGAUGUCAAGUGUAUCCAUUCAUGUGAAUGGAACAUCCAAGAAUCUUUCCAUAAGUUUAGUUCAUCCUCCACGUCCCCGGGAGCACUGUAAAUUUUCUUCAUAGGGGUCUUUCCAUAAGUUUAGUUCAUCCUCUGCGUCCCCGGGAGCACUGUAAAUUUUCUUCAUAAGGGUCUUGCACAUGAGUCGUGAAUUCCUGGGCAUUUGGUCUUGUUUGUUUCUGUUGUAAAUGUAGUCUUUCCUUCCAUUAUUCCAACUGUGGUUUCCAUAGAAGGAAACUUGAUUUCUGUAUGUUAAUUUUGAAACUACACACCUUACAGCAUUCUCAUUUAUUCUAGUUUUUUUAAUUUUUGUGAGUUUUCCAAAAAUGAAAUCUUAACUGCAAAUAAGACAAUUACAUCUUUGCAUUCCAAUGUUUAUAUUCUGAUUUCUUUUUUCUUUGUUUAAUCCAGCUGCAAUGGGAAAUAAUAGUAGUGAUGGGUAACGACCUUGUCUAGUUCUUUACUCUGAUUGCUUCCAGUGUUUACCUACUAAGCUUAUUAGUCUUUCUAAUUCCCUAUUGUUCUUAUUUUAAGACUCUUAAAAAUGUUCUAUUGAACCAGU